rfam:Corynebacterium diphtheriae NCTC 13129, complete genome
CUGCGAUCAUCAUGCUGAUGUGCGACGGAGUCCGUGAUGAUUGCAGAGAGUUUUCAGACGUCCAUCGCACCGCAUGCUUGAUUUCAGGUAUAUGCGGCCCGAAACUGGGAGAGAACGCUGAGCGUUACAAC